CGUGUAGGCGGCCAAGUAAGUCAGAUGUGAAAGCCCUUGGCUUAACCAAGGAAGGGCAUUUGAAACUGCUUGGCUUGAGUACGGGAGGGGGAAGCGGAAUUCCCGGUGUAGAGGUGAAAUUCGUAGAUAUCGGGAGGAACACCGGUGGCGAAGGCGGCUUCCUGGACCGAUACUGACGCUGAGACGCGAAAGCGUGGGGAGCAAACAGGAUUAGAUACCCUGGUAGUCCACGCCAUAAACGUUGGGCACUAGGUGUUGCGGGUAUUGACCCCUGCAGUGCCGAAGCUAACGCAUUAAGUGCCCCGCCUGGGGAGUACGGUCGCAAGGCUAAA
rnacentral:rRNA from 1 species